GGCUAAUCACCCAAGGAGAGGGCCUUCAUUCCUUGCUUCUUAGCUCCAUCGAUUUCUAGGCUGAGGAUGGUUGAAAGGAUUCUCCAAGUUCCCAAAGUUGAGAACCUCUAAGUCUCCACACCAAGGUAGGACUUGAAGAAGAGAUGAGUGAUGAUAGGAGCAUAUUUAUGCGACUUAAUUAGCUUGUUUCCUUGCAUUUACGUUGCUAGUACUUAGUAAUUUUAGUAUUUUAAGCUAUUUUCGUGCAAUUUCAGGUUCUAAGGAUAAAGUAUGCAAAAAGAUGCAUUUUGGAGCCUUUUGGAGCAGUUUUGGGCAUAAAUUGAAUAGCUUAUGCUUGGAGUAAUAUUGAUUGACGAAAUUGAAGGCCUAAAGGAUAUUAGAAGUCAGUUUGGAAACUUAGAAGACACAAUUUCAGCACCUCCUACAAAGGUGGCGCCUUGUCCCCUUUGUGUUUCCUUCUUGUCUCCUCUUGUGCAACAAUUUCCCUUGCCAUGUUUCCCUAAUUUCUGAACCAAAAACACCUUUCCCUUUCUCCCUUGUCCCUUGCCGCACCAUACAUCCUCUUUCCCUUUUAAUUUCCGACCUUAAGUACCUUUCCUAUAUUGUGCCACAUCUUUGUUACCUAUUUCUCUUUAAUUUCUGAUUCUUUCUUACCUAUUUCUGACCCAAAAUUACAUUCCCAUUUGUUUCAAUUCUUGCUACACGAGGGGAGAGGAUUCUUACCUAUUUUGUGCCUCAAAACACAUUCCUAAAUCUGUCCUACACUCUUUUCCGAAUUUCCUUUCCUAUUCUCUUUAAAUUUCUGCACCUUUCUUGCCUAUUUCCCAUUGAUUUCUGAUUCCAAAUCUAAUAAAUUCGUAGCCCUUCCUUCACCUAUAAAUCAAACUCCUUUCUGACAAUUCUAAGCACUCCACCCUUCACCAUAACCAACCUAUAUCCAUCCACCACCACAAAUCACCACAAAAACCUUCAACCACCCCUUGUGCCGCAGCAAAGAAGAAGGAAAGAGACCCUUGGAUGUGCUUGCCAUUCAAGACGUUGGAUUGUUGGAGCGUUUCUAGGUGUUUUCAUUAUUUGUUUUCAAUGUCUAAAUUUAUGUAUCUUUGUUUUGCGUUUAUGAGGAACUAAGCCCUUCUUGGCUAGGGGGCUAUUCAAUACCAUGAUUAUACUUGCAUUAUGAAUUGAUUACCUUUAGUUGUUAUUUCAUAAGUUGUGAAUUCAAUUUGCUUAACCAUUUGAUUGAUAACUUAUUCUUUUAUGUUUAUUAAGAGUGCACACUUAGUUUUCUGCAAGGAUUUGAAGCUAAAAUAUAAGGGAGUUUCACCUAAUAGUUACAAACUUAUAUUUGCAAGUAGUGGAGGUCACUUAUAAAUGAUCGUGUUAAGUGAAUUCUUGGCAAAAGUUUCAUGCUUUUCAUAGUUACAAUUGCCUUGUCAAUGCUUAUAGU
rnacentral:lncRNA from 1 species